UUUCAGACCGGCGUGAGCCAGGUCGGUUUCUAUCCUUAAAUUAUUAUAAAAUUAUAGUACGAAAGGACCUAAUUUUAGGAAUAUUUUUUACUUUAUGAAUAAAAAUU
rnacentral:rRNA from 1 species